rnacentral:rRNA from 1 species
GGGUUGUGAGGUUAAGCGAAUAAGCGUACACGGUGGAUGCCUAGGCAGUCAGAGGCGAUGAAGGACGUGCUAAUCUGCGAAAAGCGCCGGUGAGCUGAUAUGAAGCAUUAUUAGCCGGCGAUGUCCGAAUGGGGAAACCCAGUGCAAUGCGUUGCACUAUCAUUAACUGAAUCCAUAGGUUAAUGAGGCGAACCGGGGGAACUGAAACAUCUCAGUACCCCGAGGAAAAGAAAUCAACCGAGAUUCCCCCAGUAGCGGCGAGCGAACGGGGAGGAGCCCAGAACCAGCAUCAGCCACAGCAUCAGAGGAACGGUCUGGAAAGGCCGGCGAGAGAGGGUGACAGCCCCGUACUCGAAGAUGGCGUGGUUGUGAGUUCGACGAGUAAGGCGGGACACGAGAAAUCCUGUCUGAAGAGGGGGGGACCAUCCUCCAAGGCUAAAUACUCCUGACUGACCGAUAGUGAACCAGUACCGUGAGGGAAAGGCGAAAAGAACCCCGGCGAGGGGAGUGAAAGAGAACCUGAAACCGUGUACGUACAAGCAGUGGGAGCCCCACCACCAAAGCGUUUCGCUUUGCGUGGUGCACAAAAUGCGUAACGGCAUCACUGAUGCGCGGUUGGCGGAGCGACAGCGACGCCCAACACAAUCAUCAAGCAGUGGAGCGUUUUGGGGUGGGGUGACUGCGUACCUUUUGUAUAAUGGGUCAGCGACUUAUAUUCUGUAGCAAGGUUAACCGGAUAGGGGAGCCGCAGGGAAACCGAGUCUUAACUGGG